AUUGAACGCUGGCGGCAGGCCUAACACAUGCAAGUCGAACGAGUGGCGGACGGGUGAGUAAUGUCUGGGAAACUGCCUGAUGGAGGGGGAUAACUACUGGAAACGGUAGCUAAUACCGCAUACCAUCAGAUGGACCCAGAUGGGAUUAGCUUGGUGGUGGGGUAACGGCUCACCAAGGCGAAGAUCCCUAGCUGGGCUGAGAGGAUGACAAGCCACACUGGAACUUAGACACGGUCCAGAAGCCUACGGGAGGCAGCAGUGGGGAAUAUUGCACAAUGGGCGCAAGCCUGAUGCAGCCAGGCCGCGUGUAUGAAGAAGGCCUUCGGGUUGGAAAGUACUUUCAGCGGGGAGGCGUUACCCGCAGAAGAAGCACCGGCUGACUCCGUGCCAGCAGCCGCGGUAAUUC
rnacentral:rRNA from 1 species